UAGAGUUUGAUCCUGGCUCAGGAUGAACGCUAGCGGCAGGCUUAAUACAUGCAAGUUGAACGGGAUUCGAGUAGCAAUACUUGAUGAGAGUGGCGCACGGGUGCGUAACACGUAUGCAACCUACCUUUAACUGGCGAAUAGCCCCGGGAAAUCGGGAUUAAUACGCCAUAAGAUCACGAAAGGGCAUCCUUUAGUAAUUAAAGAACUUCGGUUAGAGAUGGGCAUGCGGGACAUUAGCUAGUUGGUGAGGUAACGGCUCACCAAGGCAACGAUGUCUAGGGGUCCUGAGAGGGUUAUCCCCCACACUGGUACUGAGACACGGACCAGACUCCUACGGGAGGCAGCAGUAAGGAAUAUUGGUCAAUGGGCGCAAGCCUGAACCAGCCAUGCCGCGUGCAGGAAGACGGCCCUAUGGGUUGUAAACUGCUUUUGUCAGGGAAUAAAUGAUGGUACGUGUACUGUCUUGAAGGUACCUGAAGAAUAAGCAUCGGCUAACUCCGUGCCAGCAGCCGCGGUAAUA
rnacentral:rRNA from 1 species